rnacentral:rRNA from 1 species
UACGUAGGGGGCGAGCGUUGUCCGGAUUUAUUGGGCGUAAAGAGCGUGUAGGCGGCCAGGCAGGUCCGUUGUGAAAACUGGAGGCUCAACCUCCAGACGUCGAUGGAAACCGUCUGGCUAGAGUCCGGAAGAGGAGAGUGGAAUUCCUGGUGUAGCGGUGAAAUGCGCAGAUAUCAGGAAGAACACCCGUGGCGAAAGCGGCUCUCUGGGACGGUACUGACGCUGAGACGCGAAAGCGUGGGGAGCGAACAGG